GUAGCUGUUGGUGUAGCCUCCUGAACCAAGUUAUGUUCUCCAUUGGGUGAAAAAAUGCUAUCUCAGUUGCCUGUGAUGAUGAUAUUUGCGUGCAUGCUGCUGUAUGAAUAGAAGUGCAAAGACAAUGGUGGUGGUAUCAGGCAAUGUCCCACGAAUGCCUUGUGAGCACCACAAAAAUCACAACGCAUUACAAUUGACUGUGAGGAGAUAACAUUUCCCUUGUGCCAUUGCUUAACAUGUGCGCAGCAGGUACUAUACCGUGUAGCUGGAAUAGGUAAUAAUGAUUGUUGGUGGCUUGAUCGCAGAGAAUGCUUGAAAUUGCAAAUUGUCUAGGGUAGCUGUGGCUUUUGCUGUUGUUUUGGUAGAAAUUGGUGUUGUAAAGGAAAUUCACAAAUAUAAAUAAGUUUGAAACAGGCAAUUAUGGAAUUAAGUAAUAUUUGUGUUUGUUCAAAGAGUAGAGUAGCUGGAUAUACUUUGGGACGUAAGUCGUCUUUUGACCAAUUCAUGAGUUUUGUUUU
rnacentral:misc_RNA from 1 species